AGGGGUGUAGCUCAGUGGUAGAGUGCUUACUUAGCAUUCAGGAGGCCCUGGGUUUGAUCCCCAGCACAGCAA
rnacentral:tRNA from 1 species